CAGCAGCCGCGGUAAUACGGAGGGUGCAAGCGUUAAUCGGAAUUACUGGGCGUAAAGCGCACGCAGGCGGUUAUAUAAGACAGAUGUGAAAUCCCCGGGCUCAACCUGGGAACUGCAUUUGUGACUGUAUAGCUAGAGUACGGCAGAGGGGGAUGGAAUUCCGCGUGUAGCAGUGAAAUGCGUAGAUAUGCGGAGGAACACCGAUGGCGAAGGCAAUCCCCUGGGCCUGUACUGACGCUCAUGCACGAAAGCGUGGGGAGCAAACAGGAUUAGAUACCCCCGUAGUCCCUGUCUCUUAUAC
rnacentral:rRNA from 1 species